rnacentral:lncRNA from 1 species
GCCAUGCUUGUUUUAUUGUUGAUCUAUUGGUCAUGUUAUCUGAGAUUGGUUGGUGAAGGGCAUGGAUGAAGAGUCCACCAAGGCAGCUGUUGAGGACACUACUGUGGGGAUCUACAUUAUCAAAGACCAUUUCGCGAGUGAGGAUCCAGGGGACACUGGGAUUGUCCUUGAAGGCGUCAAGGUGCUGCAGGAUCUGGGCAACGUAGCAUUUGCUGUUGCAAUGCUGUUCGGCCUCAUGUAUGCCAUGAACCUCAGUUACCCUAACUGAGCCCCGCUACACUUUUGAUGUCUUUCAGAAGGUUUUUAUGGAACUGAAUGGGGACAAACUUUCUAACAAAGCUGUUGCAUUUAAAAAC